rnacentral:rRNA from 1 species
GCCCAGUGACCCUAGUUCAACGGCCGCGGUAUCCUAACCGUGCGAAGGUAGCGUAAUCACUUGUUCUUUAAAUGAGGACUAGUAUGAACGGCAUCACGAGGGUUUUACUGUCUCCUUUUUCUAAUCAGUGAAACUGUUCUCCCCGUGAAGAGACGGGGAUAGACAUAUAAGACGAGAAGACCCUAUGGAGCUUUAAAUUUUAUUUCAACUGCUUUCUUCCCAUAACCAGUCCCGACCUCUUUUACCGAAUCAAGCACUAUGAUAAUAAAUUUUAGGUUGGGGUGACCGCGGAGCACAAAAAAACCUCCGUAUUGAAUAAAGGCCUUCAGCCCUGAGCAAAGAGCUACGACUCCAAGCAAUAAUACUUUAACAUCCAUUGACCCAAUAUUUUUGAUCAACGAACCAAGUUACCCUAGGGAUAACAGCGCAAUCUACUUUGAGAGCCCCUAUCGACAAGUGGGUUUACGACCUCGAUGUUGGAUCAGGGUAUCCCAGUGGUGCAGCCGCUACUAAAGGUUCGUUUGUUCAACGAUUAAAACCCUACGUGA